rnacentral:rRNA from 1 species
GGUCCCGCCUGCCCAGUGACUCUUUAAACGGCCGCGGUAUCCUAACCGUGCAAAGGUAGCAUAAUCACUUGUCCCUUAAAUAGAGACUAGAAUGAACGGCUAAAUGAGAACUAAACUGUCUCUUGCGAGCUAGUCAAUGAAAUUGAUUUUCCAGUACAAAAGCUGGAAUAAACACAUAAGACGAGAAGACCCUGUGGAGCUUCAAAACCAAGUUCAACAAAUAAUGUUUCCUUGCGUUUUUAGUUGGGGCGACUUUGGAGUACAAAAAACCCUCCAAAACAUAUUUAACCAAUUAUAUCAAGAUUAACAAACCAAAAACUACACAUAGACCCAGCAAUAACCCCAUAUUUUUGCCUGAUCAAUGAACCAAGUUACCCCAGGGAUAACAGCGCCAUCCCCUUAUAGAGUCCUUAUCGACAAGGGGGUUUACGACCUCGAUGUUGGAUCAGGACCCCCCAAUGGUGCAGCCGCCAUUAAAGGUUCGUUUGUUCAACGAUUAAAGUCCUACGUGAUCU